rnacentral:lncRNA from 1 species
CGAGACCAAUUAUAAAUUCCAAAACAUUCAUCAAUAUUGUCUCGCAGAAAUACUCAAGUGUGGCUAUUCAAUAGAAAAAUCUGAUUAUGUUUCGUCUUCAUAUCAAAUACUUAUUGCAAUAUAUGCUCGAAAAGACAAUAAACAAAUUAAAUUAGAAUAAUCUCAUUCGAGUUCUUCAACAUGAAAUUUCUUGAACUCUUGUAACAAGUUUGGAGAAGGCAUUCGUCAAACCAUCUUUUGCAAUAGAGGAGCCUGGAAAUCAUUCAAUAGUAGGGAUGACUAUUCGAUACCUCACGGGAAGUAAUACUGCCAAGACAUCAGACAAUAUUAACAAGUGACUCUAUUUAUAAUAAGUAAUACUUGGCAAAAAUAAUCAACCAAGGAUGUUAGAUGAUUUGUUGCAUGCAUACAUAUGAAUGCUUAUUUCUACUUAUAAAUUUACAUCAAGUUAUACAUACUCAAAAAGAUGGAAAAGUUAUUUUCCAGAAGUUUGACUCACCAUAAUCCAUAUUCCUUUUUCAUUUGCUGUGAAAAAUCAUUGGGUUGCAAUCAAAUCCCACACCAAUAACCAUUCUCUCAAAAAUUAACGGAACCUAAAUUGCACACUCGUGCAAUACAUUAAAGAAAUUGAGUUAAAUGAUUGAGAUUGGAAGCUGACCCACAUCACGAAGAGGAAAAUCAAGGAAUGCACGCUACACACUUUUAAGUGAAAACUCCUAGAAAGUUGGGGGGAAAAUAAAGGUUGGACUCAAAAUCAGAAAUUAAAUGUACGCUACACACAAAUGCAAAACUUAUAAAGAAAUUAAACCCAAUUGGAAAAGUGAGAACAACUGAGCAAUAAAAGAAAUUUUAUUUCUUUUAUAUAUAUAUAUAUAUAUAUACACAAUCCAAAAUUCAUAUUUCACAAUUAAAUCACUGCACAAUAAGAAAUCGACAGCUUACAGAAAAGAUUCAAAACCCUUCUGCAAUCUGUUGGCACGAGGUGAGCAAUCUGUAUCUGUUC